UACGUAGGGACCAAGCGUUGUUCGGAUUUACUGGGCGUAAAGGGUGCGUAGGCGGCGCGGUAAGUCACUUGUGAAAUCUCUGAGCUUAACUCAGAACGGCCAAGUGAUACUGCAGUGCUAGAGUGUGGAAGGGGCAAUCGGAAUUCUUGGUGUAGCGGUGAAAUGCGUAGAUAUCGUUUGGAACGCCAAUGGUGAAAACAGACAGCUGGGAGUGUGCUGACGCUGAGACACGAAAGCCAGGGGAGCGAACGGG
rnacentral:rRNA from 1 species